rnacentral:rRNA from 1 species
GAUGAACGCUGGCGGCGUGCCUAAUACAUGCAAGUCGAGCGAACGGACGAGAAGCUUGCUUCUCUGAUGUUAGCGGCGGACGGGUGAGUAACACGUGGAUAACCUACCUAUAAGACUGGGAUAACUUCGGGAAACCGGAGCUAAUACCGGAUAAUAUUUUGAACCGCAUGGUUCAAAAGUGAAAGACGGUCUUGCUGUCACUUAUAGAUGGAUCCGCGCUGCAUUAGCUAGUUGGUAAGGUAACGGCUUACCAAGGCAACGAUGCAUAGCCGACCUGAGAGGGUGAUCGGCCACACUGGAACUGAGACACGGUCCAGACUCCUACGGGAGGCAGCAGUAGGGAAUCUUCCGCAAUGGGCGAAAGCCUGACGGAGCAACGCCGCGUGAGUGAUGAAGGUCUUCGGAUCGUAAAACUCUGUUAUUAGGGAAGAACAUAUGUGUAAGUAACUGUGCACAUCUUGACGGUACCUAAUCAGAAAGCCACGGCUAACUACGUA